UGAACUAGCUCCCUGACCGCUGAACUAGCGCCCAAACUGCUGAACUAGCUCCCUGACUACUGAACUAGCGCCCAAACUGCUGAACUAG